CAGCACCUGAAGUCAAGCAAGGCCACCCGCUGAACUUAAGCAUAUCAGUAAGCGA
rnacentral:rRNA from 1 species